rnacentral:rRNA from 1 species
UACGGAGGGUGCGAGCGUUGUUCGGAAUCACUGGGCGUAAAGGGCGUGUAGGCGGUCCGCUAAGUCUGAUGUGAAAGCCCGGGGCUCACCCCCGGAAGUGCAUUGGAAACUGGCGGACUCGAGUCCCGGAGAGGAGAGUGGAAUUCCUGGUGUAGCGGUGAAAUGCGUAGAUAUCAGGAGGAACACCGGUGGCGAAGGCGACUUCCUGGACCAGUACCGACGUUCAGGCACGAAAGCGUGGGGAGCAAACAGG